AGCUAGUUGGUGAAGUAACGGCUUACCAAGGCGACGAUCUGUAGCGGGUCUGAGAGGAUGAUCCGCCACACUGGAACUGAGACACGGUCCAGACUCCUACGGGAGGCAGCAGUGGGGAAUUUUGGACAAUGGGGGCAACCCUGAUCCAGCCAUGCCGCGUGAGUGAAGAAGGCCUUCGGGUUGUAAAGCUCUUUCGGCCGGGAAGAAAUCGCAUGGGCCAAUACCCUGUGUGGAUGACGGUACCGGAAUAAGAAGCACCGGCUAACCACGUGCCAGCAGCCGCGGUAAUACGUAGGGUGCGAGCGUUAAUCGGAAUUACUGGGCGUAAAGCGUGCGCAGGCGGUUUUGUAAGACAGGCGUGAAAUCCCCGGGCUCAACCUGGGAACUGCGUUUGUGACUGCAAGGCUAGAGUACGGCAGAGGGGGGUGGAAUUCCACGUGUAGCAGUGAAAUGCGUAGAGAUGUGGAGGAACACCAAUGGCGAAGGCAGCCCCCUGGGUCGAUACUGACGCUCAUGCACGAAAGCGUGGGUAGCAAACAGGAUUAGAUACCCUGGUAGUCCACGCCCUAAACUAUGUCAACUAGGUGUUGGGUGGGUAAAACCAUUUAGUACCGUAGCUAACGCGUGAAGUUGACCGCCUGGGGAGUACGGCCGCAAGGUUAAAACUCAAAGGAAUUGACGGGGACCCGCACAAGCGGUGGAUGAUGUGGAUUAAUUCGAUGCAACGCGAAAAACCUUACCUACCCUUGACAUGCCAGGAACUUGCCAGAGAUGGCUUGGUGCCCGAAAGGGAGCCUGGACACAGGUGCUGCAUGGCUGUCGUCAGCUCGUGUCGUGAGAUGUUGGGUUAAGUCCCGUAACGAGCGCAACCCUUGUCGUUAAUUGCCAUCAUUUAGUUGGGCACUUUAGCGAGACUGCCGGUGACAAACCGGAGGAAGGUGGGGAUGACGUCAAGUCCUCGCCCUUAUGGGUAGGGCUUCACACGUCAUACAAUGGUCGGUACAAAGGGUCGCCAAGCCGCGAGGUGGAGCCAAUCCCAGAAAGCCGAUCGUAGUCCGGAUUGCAGGCUGCAACUCGCCUGCAUGAAGUCGGAAUCGCUAGUAAUCGUGGAUCAGCAUGUCACGGUGAAUACGUUCCCGGGUCUUGUACACACCGCCCGUCACACCAUGGGAGCGGGUUCCGCCAGAAGUAGGUAGCCUAACCGCAAGGAGGGCGCUUACCACGGCGGGGUUCGUGACUGGGGUGAAGUCGUAACAAGGUAGCCGUAGGGGAACCUGCGGCUG
rnacentral:rRNA from 1 species